AGUGUCAGAGCAGGGGAGACCAGCACAGACACCUUACAAGCAGGAACUGGAUGACAAAAAGAAGAGCCGAUAUAACCAGGAACCUACUCUGGCCACCCCAAUGGUCAUGGAUUUGGAUGGUGAGAAGAGCUGAGACAGACGGCACAGGUUCUCAGGAUGCUUGAGGCAGUACCUAACCAUGUGCAAGAGCUUCCACAUACAUGACCUCAUCAUAUCAAGAGUUCUUCAAUGAUACGACUUUCAUUCCUGUGCCAAGUCAAAGAGUUUCAGACAAAGUCAAGAGACCCUCUUGCUUCUACCUGUGGCUCUAAGACAACCUUGAUUCAAACCUUGGUCACCGUGUGCUGAACCCCCAGGUGCCAGACUGGAACGGAGAUGUUUGGUUAGGACAACUUAUAUGGAGAACUUGGAGAGGCGCUGCACUUUACCAUUCAACAUCAGAACACCACCACUGCCACUCUAAGAAAUGGAAGGUCAUGCCUCGUUGAACCUUCCUUUUUGUUCAAGAAGACUAGAAAGGUAUCAUCGCUGCGAUUCUACCUGUAAAAGAACACCUUGAGAAGACGCCAUUCAUCACUCUGUCUGGGGGUGAGUAUAAAGAUGGCACCCAGAGGACCAUCAAGGAGAGAAAACUCCAGGAGAGCUCAUGGAAAUAGUAACACAGCAAAGGGAGAAAGAGAGAAAAGUCGAACUCUGAGUUCCUCUCUAGGGGAAAGGAGGAGGGGUUAGUUGCUUCUAAGCCAGCUAUCUCGAUGAGAGUUUGAAGAUCUACAUUGAAAUCUUUUACCUAAGAAACUUAGUCCUUACCCAUAAACCCAGGAGAAGAGGGGGAGCACGCAUCAGAGCUAGUAAAUAUAGAAAAAGUCAAACAUUCCUCAUCAAGGCCUCGGAAGAAACCAAAGAAACCAAAAAAACACCAAGGGAGAAAAUGUCCACUGAAACACGUGCCUGCCUGGGUGUGAGGAUAUCCUAUGACAGUCACUGUCGCUCAGGCAGGUCAGCCCACUCCUCUGGUUAUAGAGGAGAGCAAGCUGGGCCAAUCCAACCCACCAGACUGAUCCUUGAGUCCAGCCCAGCUUUCCCACAGGUCAGUAAACCAGACACUUCAUGGGCCACUAAGGCCAUCCAUAGUUCCUCCACCCAGCCUGUGCCACUACAUGGAGGUCAGAGCAGACUCCAAGGUGUGGCCGGCUCACCAGAUCCUGAGCCCAGGUGUCCAGCUCUUCAACUCAGCAGAGCAGCAUUUUAUUUUUAUUUUUUAAUUUAAUUUUUUGUUUUGUUUAUAAUUGAGACAUGUUAAUUGUACAUGCUUAUGAGGUACAGCGUGAUGUUCCAAUUCAUGUCUACAUUAUAUAAUGAUCAGAUCAGGGCAGUGAGCAUGUCCCUCUCAACAGAGCAACUUUCCGCAAAGCUCUCCUCUCUCCAUGGCUGUGUAAACAGAAAAGCAAAGAAUAGGGAGGGACAGAGGGUAGAACAUUGACUUCAGACUUCCAGUCCACAGCUCUGCUCUCCAAAUACCGCCAAAGUGGAAGCUAGAAAUACCUCAUUAUUAGGAAGCUAAACUCCUUAUUUUUAAAUAAAAACUUAUUUAUUUA
ensembl:lncRNA LINC01682 long intergenic non-protein coding RNA 1682